UUUCUAUGGAGAGUUUGAUCCUGGCUCAGGACGAACGCUGGCGGCGUGCCUAAUACAUGCAAGUCGAGCGGACGAUUCGAAAGCUUGCUUUUGAAUCGUUAGCGGCGGACGGGUGAGUAACACGUGGGCAACCUGCCCUGUAGACGGGGAUAACACCGAGAAAUCGGUGCUAAUACCGGAUAACACGAAAUGUCGCAUGACGUUUCGUUGAAAGGCGGCGCAAGCUGCCGCUACAGGAUGGGC
rnacentral:rRNA from 1 species